rnacentral:lncRNA from 1 species
UUUUUAACAAGGUGUGACAAAAAGGAAAGGGGAAUUGAGGUUAAGAGGGAAGAGGAGAAACAAUAACAUACUAACAUCCAUUCUAUACGUAUUGCCAUAUCAACAUUCCAAAUUACUAUUUUUACUAUUUUCUGCCUUCAGAUUUAAGUUCUCAUUUCAAUGUAUGCUCUUCAUACGCUGUCUGUCAACUCAAUACAUUUAUAGAAUAAGUCCCAUCUUUCAGUUACUUUUUGUAAAGGACAGUCCUUCAUCACUUCUGAUAAAAUGUCCAUUUCCGCUGUUUCCCGUAUCUUCUGUGUUUUUGUGUUUUUUUGUAAAGGGUUCUUCAGAAUCUGUCCCUGGCUCCCCUCUGGCAGUGGACUCCCCUUUGUCCCUCAGGCAGAGGUCACUGGAGGGGAUCGGAGGAGCCGUCUCACAGGGCAUUGAAAAUAUGCAGGGAACCUCUCCCUCAUCUCUCCUUUGCGGAGGAAUGGAAGCUGUGCCUGUGCAGCCAGAAGAGGUAAAGGGGACUGGAUGGGGAGAUGGAGAAGGAGCCUGGGCACCUUUGUUUCCUGUCUGCCUGGUCAGCUGCAUAUUGUUUGUCCCCUUCCAUUCGCUUCUUUCAAUAUUAUGGAGUAAAUUGUAUGAGAGAUUUCUCAGGGAACGGGUGAGUCUGGCCUUGGAAUCCCAGUCCACAUUUUCUGCUUAGAGAGGGGCACGGACCAGUUCGUCCCAGUUCGUGUGGGGCUGUGGCUCCCUUUCCCUGCCUCUUCAUCCAAUCAGCCACUCACUCACGUCUGCUUGCUGUCUUUUCCCACCUCCUCGGCUGAUCUCCCCGUCACCAGCAAGAGCCCAGACUUUUCUGCCCUGCCCUUUUCUCUGAGUGGGAGGUGAACCAAGAGACGGGGUGGG